ensembl:lncRNA
ACACACACGCUGUCAUCAUGGCUGUCAUGUAUGUGCCAGGAAACAAAGAUUUUUUUUUUGAUAAUGUUGUUCCUCAGGUUUUUCAACAAACUUGAGCAAUGCCCAACUCUCAUUGGUCGGUUCUUCAAAUGAAAAAAACCUGUCUCACUUUAAAUGUCAGCUCACCUGUCUGCUAGGCUAUAUUAGAGGUGACCAUUUAACUGACGACAGGAACUUGCUAAACGGAUUAACCAGGACUGCCUUUUUUUGUGGAGAAAUAAUCAAAAAGAAUAUUACUAAAAGAACAUAGCAAUGGAGUGGAGGAUUAUAGUACCUGUUCUGUGUCUGAUUGGAUUCCUACCUGUGCCUGGAAAUGCUGCGGACAACCGCACCACCAACAGCACCACCAACAGCACCACUGCUUUUGAAUUUAAUAUAGUGUUCCACAUUAAUGACACUUUCAAUGAAACCUACUCCAACAUGGCCAAUAAUAACACAAUAACCCUGAAAAACAAAAUCAUCACUGAGGUAAUAUUUUUAGCCAGUGAGGAAUGGUUAAAUUUACACUCUCUUUUUUUUCAGCAGUGUACUCUUAAAAAUAAAGGUGCUUAAAAGGUUCUUCACAGCGAUGCCAUAGAAGAACCAUUUUCGGUUCCACAAAGAACCAUUCAGUCAAAGGUAUUUUAAAGAACCAUCUCUUUCGUACCUUUUUAUAAUCUGAAGUACCGUAUUUCGCCACAAAGAACCUUUUGUGAAACAGAAAGUUUCUUCAGAUGUUAAAGGUUCUUUAUGGAACCAUUUAGAUAAAAAAGGUUCUUCUAUGGCAUCGUGAAGCACCUUUAUUUUUAAGAGUGUGACCUAUAAUUUAUAAAAUACCCCUAAGCACUUGUCCUUUCUUCAUGACCACACACAAAGGAGAGGCCGAACCAUCUGUGCACCGCACUAGAAAAUAAGCAUAUCUGAGCAGGUGUUGGGCGAUGUUGCUUUAGGCCAAAUAAAAGCAAUGGGAUCAAGAAUGAACUUAGGAUU